CCUACGGGUGGCAGCAGUGGGGGAUAUUGCACAAUGGGGGGAACCCUGAUGCAGCGACGCCGCGUGGGUGAAGAAGCGCCUCGGCGCGUAAAGCCCUGUCAGCAGGGAAGAAAAUGACGGUACCUGAAGAAGAAGCCCCGGCUAACGACGUGCCAGCAGCCGCGGGAAGCCGGAGGCGGCAAGAGUUAUCCGGAGUUACUGGGUGUAAAGGGGGCGCAGACGGCGAUGCAAGCCAGGAGUGAAAGCCCGGGGGCCAACCCCGGGACUGCACUUGUAACUGCGUGGCUGGAGUGCAGGAGGGGCAGGCGGAAUUCCUGGUGUAGCGGUGAUCUGCGUAGAUAUCAGGAGGAACACCGGUGGCGAAGGCGGCCUGCUGGACUGCACCUGACGUUGAGGCCCGAAAGCGUGGGGAGCAAACAGGAUUAGAUACCCGGGUAGUC
rnacentral:rRNA from 1 species